rnacentral:rRNA from 1 species
GAUGAACGCUGGCGGCGUGCCUAAUACAUGCAAGUCGAGCGAACAGACGAGGAGCUUGCUCCUCUGACGUUAGCGGCGGACGGGUGAGUAACACGUGGAUAACCUACCUAUAAGACUGGGAUAACUUCGGGAAACCGGAGCUAAUACCGGAUAAUAUAUUGAACCGCAUGGUUCAAUAGUGAAAGACGGUUUUGCUGUCACUUAUAGAUGGAUCCGCGCCGCAUUAGCUAGUUGGUAAGGUAACGGCUUACCAAGGCGACGAUGCGUAGCCGACCUGAGAGGGUGAUCGGCCACACUGGAACUGAGACACGGUCCAGACUCCUACGGGAGGCAGCAGUAGGGAAUCUUCCGCAAUGGGCGAAAGCCUGACGGAGCAACGCCGCGUGAGUGAUGAAGGUCUUCGGAUCGGAAAGCUCUGUUAUUAGGGAAGAACAAAUGUGUAAGUAACUAUGCACGUCUUGACGGUACCUAAUCAGAAAGCCACGGCUAACUACGUG